GAUGAACGCUGGCGGCGUGCCUAAUACAUGCAAGUCGAGCGAACGGACGAUAAGCUUGUUUCUCUGCUGUUAGCGGCGGACGGGUGAGUAACACGUGGAUAACCUUCCUAUAAUACUGGGAUAACUUCGGGAAACCGGUACUAAUACCGGAGGAUAUUAUGAACCGCAUGGUUCAAAAGUGAAAGACGGUCUUGCUGUCAGUUAUAGAUGGAUCCGCGCUGCAUUAGCUAGUUGGUAAGGUAACGGCUUACCAAGGGAACGAUGCAUAGCCGAGCUGAGAGAGUGUGCGGCCACACUGUGACUCAGAGACGGUCCAGACUCCUAUGGGAGGCAGCAGUAGGGAAUCUUCCGCAAUGGGCGCAAGCCUGACGGAGCAACGCCGCGUGAGUGAUGAAGGUCUUCGGAUCGUAAAGCUCUGUUAUUAGGGAAGAACAUAUGUGUAAGUAACUGUGCACAUCUUGACGGUACCUAAUCAGAAAGCCACGGCUAACUACGUG
rnacentral:rRNA from 1 species